rnacentral:lncRNA from 1 species
CCCGUGGUACUCAAAAGCGCUCAUUCCAUAAGCCUUGUUGAAUGGAAUCCCACCAUCAAGAAUUGCAUCUUUCAAAUGGUACCUGAAACAAGUAUCGUUGGUAUGAGUUUAAGAAAACACACACAUUCACACAAAGCUUAAUCUAACCGUUUUUAUUUAUCACUAGUUAGGAUAUUUUUUUUAUAAAUUGAUCUCCAGAUAAUCUAUUGAUCAGACUUGAUCCACCUGAGGUUGAUUAUAAUUGGUUAUCAUGAUAGAGCUGCCGGUAUGCAAAGAGAACCAGCCGGUUUGAAAUUAUGUUUCUAUAUUCCUUUGCUAGCUGCUAAAUAACCGGAAGACCGGUUCUCUUCUUAUUAUAGUUUCCUUAAAUGAUCCUCAGUAAAGGGAAGAACAAUUACAUCUUCUCUAUUUAGAACCAUGAAACACGUUGACAAGAAAAUGAAACACAAAAUAAAAUAAUAAUAAUAGAGUGUUUUCUGCAAAAAAAAAACCUCUACAUUGAAUACAACAAAAAUAUUUAAAGCUAUGAAACAACUAGAGUACAGAGUGUGUUUUUUAAUUUUCCUCUUAUUAUUUUGUAUAGUACUAGCAAACAAAAAUUUCAACGAUAGAGCUCGCUUAACCACUAAAAAUGUUAUAUAGUUUUUUAGUGGAAGCAGAUAUAGAAAACGUGUCAACGCAUCAUUUUGUCUGAUUGUCUAUGACACUUUGUGGCCGAGUCUCUCUCAUCUUUACCUUUGCACAAUUCAAUUUUAAUCAUCACAUGAUUCACAUCAACCAAGAACCAUAGCUUAUGAAACAAAAUUAUCAAAGAAGAAGCUUUUUUUUUCUAACUUGAUAUAGCCACAAGAUCUAUCCAAUGAAGAUGUCUUGGUAAUAUCUUAAAAAACUUACCAGCUUUCCAUGAGAACCUUGUCUUGGUUCAUAAGACAAAGAGCAGCUAUAGAGACACCAUCUUCGUUCUUGGUCAAGUACUUGCAAACCGGACCAAGCCCGUAAAUCCUCUCGACGCUGUCUCCGCCGGGAAUGGUUCGGUUGGAGCAGGUGAGGAUGGAGUAAGACGUGAGAAGACGGAGGAUUCGGUCGAGCAUGACCGGAGCUUCGGGGUUUUUGGUCUGAAGUUUAGAAGCAAUCUCAGAUGGAGACAUCGGAGAAGAGUUCUUGGCCAUGAUCUCGAGAAGAUCAAGGUCUAAGGCGGACUUUAAAACCAUGGGAAGAACGGAGGCGCUGGCUAGCUGCAUGGCAAAGAGAGCGGCUUCGUCGUCGGUGACUUGUACCGGAGUUAUCUGUGUCUCCGCCGUUGAUCCCAUUUUUCUUGGAUUCUCUAAGAUAUUCUUGGGAUGUUUCUUUUUCUUUUGUUUCUUUGUUUUGAGAGGAGUGUGUGAUGGGUGAGAAGUAGGACGUUAAGAGGUUUAUUUAUAUGAAAAUAUAUUAUAAGAAGGUAGACAAGUGGCAUUUUUUUUUAACUCAAGUUUCUGAUCUAGCUUAAUUACAUGGUCCAAUUGAAUGAAAACAAUUCAGAACUUUUUUGUAUUUUAUAAGAGAGCCCGCUAUUUGUGAAGUAUUUCAUUUACGAUCCCUUCUACAGAAACAACUACACUUUAUUAUGUGCAUAUAUUUCAUCCAUACCCUUUAAACAUUGGAAAUGGUGAUUCAUUAUGCUGGCCCAUACCGACUUUAACGUAUUUUGUUAUAUUGAAUAUGUUAAACUUUCUAUAAAUUUCGGUAGCAGUAACUAGUCUUCCAUUUUUAGCGAGGACUUUAGCGAGUACUUGACAAUUCUAUGUACUGCUAACUUUUGUUUUUAACAAAGCAGAUUAUAUCUAAAAUUAAUCAUAACUUUUUUAAAGUUUGCAUCACUCUUACAUUUAUUAUUCUUACUAAAAAAACUGCGUCAAAUUUUUUCUUAAGUGUUAAUAAGUCAUAUAUAACCUAUAAGCUCACCAUCAAUUUUUUUUCUAUAGCAUAUCAGAUUUUGUCUACUAAAAACUUAAAAAGAAAUUUGUCAUCAAAGUUUUCUAACAAAAAAAAAAGAAUAUAUCCUAAGUUUGAUUUAAAACCGAUGAUAAAUUCAUAAUUGGUUUUAGAUUUUCAAUGUUUAACUGUUUAGCUUAAUUAAUAACAGUUAUACAAAAUAGAUUUAUAAAUAAAACAAAAAACUGUUAAACUAUAAAAAUCAAGAUACAAAAAAUGAAUGAGUAGAUGCGUUAAGGGGAAAAUGAAAAUAUGUUAACUACUAAUUAAGAAUGUGUGGAUUUUAUGUAUCAUGAAAACUAUAGAAAAUAAAUUUAUUAAUGAUCUUAACCAGAAACUAAUACACUAAAAACUAUUAAUUGAAAACUAUCUUAGAAUUAUAAACCGUUCAGAAAGAAAAAAAGGACCACUUUAAAAUUAGAUACAUCAAUAAAUAAAUAAGAAAAUCGCAUAAAAAAACUUUGAAAAUGUUAGUUACUAACACUUUAAACUUUGAAAUUUUUUCAUUAAUACUUUUAACUUUCAAAAUGACAUUUAUAUCACAAAAACUUCCAAAGUAAAAAAUUGACCUCUUGAACAAGUAAAAAAAUGAUGUCAGUUUUUUUUAAAAUAAUUAUUUAAUUAAUAAGACUAACAAAAAACUAAAUAAAAACCAGAAAAUUAAAUAAAAAUAGAAAAGUAAUAAACCUUAUAAAAUAAAUAAAAAUUCAGAAAAUAAAUUAAAUAUUAGAAAAUUAAAAAAAAAAAAAUCAUAAAUUUUAAAAUAAAUUUGAAAAUUCAAAAGUUUGAAUAAAAAAGUUUGUUUCCAUUUUCAACAGUGAUGUCGAAAAUAAUUAUUGGAGAUAUGCAAAAAAUAGUCAUUGUUAAUGGUUAUAUGAGAAACUAUCAAUGUCACUAGUGAUAUAUUUGGAAAUUUUAUUUUCACGAUGAUAUGGUAUAUUUUUUUAAAAAAAAUCUUAUAAUUAAAAAACUAUUUUAAUUUUUGAAUUUUCUAAAUUUUAUAAUUUUUUUGAAAUUUAUGAAUUUUUAUUUAGUUAUUCUGUAUUUUAAUUUUAUUUUAUUUAUUAUGGAAUUUUUAGUUAUUUUAUUUUUCUUUAAUUUUAAAUAUUUAUUUAGUUUUCCGAAAUUUUAUUUAUUUUUUUUAGUUUUCGGAAUUUUAUUAAAUUGUUCGAUUUUUAAUUUUUUGAAUUUUUAUUUAAUUUUUUUGUUUAUUUUAUUUAUUAAAUCAUUAUUUUGAAAAAAAAACUUACACAUCAUUUUUUACAUGUUCAACAGGUCAAUUUUUUACUUUAGAGAUUUUUAUGAUAUAAAUGUCAUUUUGAAAAUUAAAAGCAAAGUUUUUAAAUCUGACCCGGACACUGAACCAGACGACUUACCGGAUUGUUGGGUUACUAGGUCGACCACGGGUGAACCGCGGAUUAAUAAAUAAAUAAAAUUUAUUAUAUAAUAAUAUAUUAGGUAUGUAAAUAUAAAUAUAGAAACUAAAUUUUAAUAUUUUCUAAAAAAAAAUUAAAACAUAAAAUAAUAGUUUGGAUAUGUAUAUAUUUUAUGUUUAAAAACUUUUAGAAAAUACUUAAAUUUUCUUUUAUAUUUUUAUUUUCAUUUGACAUACAAAAUAUCAAAAAGUAGUUUAGACUAUUUAAAAAUUUCUCCAACAAAGUAAGAUUUACGACAUUUAAAAAAAUCAAGACAUAAAAUUUAUAAAUAUUUAAAUAUCUAAUUGAAUAAUAAAUUAAACUUCAAAUACAAAAUAAACCAAAAGUAAAAGAUCAUUGUAAUAAAAUGUCAAUACCGCUUCUGUGUCUGUUAUAGAGAUAUAUUUAUGGUUUUUUGGUAUAAAAUCGAAUAAACCGAAAACCGACGGUAUAUAAACCGAACCGAACCGAAGUAAAUAUGGAUUUAGAAUGGUAGUUAUAUUUUACUAACCAAAAUACCGAAAACCGAAAAAAACCGAACCUAAACCGAACCGAUAUCCGGAUUGAACACCCCUAUAAUAUAUAAGGGAUUAUUAAACAUCAUAGUUUUAAAACAAAGACGGUGAAGUAGACGUACAUAAGAGCAUUGUUUACAUAUAAAAUCAUUAUUACAUGGAUUGUGCGUGUGUGUUUUACAUCUUUUUGAGCAGCUCAAUAACGUAAACACCAAAAGCAUUGCAGGCAACAUUGAUGCCUUUGAAGCCUGAUCCUUUAGCUAAUGCCUCGAACUCUUUCUCGGUCCGUUCUUUGCCUCCAGGGUUAUGAGCCAACAUAAUGCAAUCAACAUGGACUACUUGUUUGGUCGAGAGGCUUGAGUCUGGUGUCUCUGGAAGUAUACACUCUGCUAGUAUCACUUUUCCAUCCUCUGGAAGCGCCUCGUAGCAGUUCUUCAAGAAUUUCACGCAGUGUUCAUCGCUCCAGUCGUGGCAUAUCCACUGUUACAACAAUGAAACAAAUCAAAACGUUUUGAGAUUUAAUUUCCUUGAUUAAUUACUUAUAAAUGUCAAAAGAGUUUUCGGUAUAGGAGCUUUGGUUAUUACUAACCUUCAUGAAAAUAGCAUCACCUUUAGGGACGCUUACAAACAUAUCUCCUCCAACAUGAUCAAUACCUGUAUUAAAUUUAACAAUUAAUCAAAUCUCUUAAUCAUAUGUAAAUGAAAUCAUAUAUAGUAUUGUGAAAUGUUAGGAAAAUGUAAUAUACCGGGAUGAGAAGUAGCUUCUUCAAUGACAUGUGGGAGAUCAAAGUUGAUGCCUUUAAGGUCAGGGUACUUAGAGACGAUCAUUUUGAGAGUAGCACCAAUGCCACCACCAACGUCAACCAAAGAAGUCAAACCCUCAAAACCCUUGUAGGUCUCGAGAAUCUUCUUCAUUGUGAUGGUUGAAUGGUUAGACAUUCCAUUGUUGAAGACCGUGUUGAACCUUAGAUCCUUCCCGUGGUACUCAAAAGCGCUCAUUCCAUAAGCCUUGUUGAAUGGAAUCCCACCAUCAAGAACUGCAUCUUUCAAAUGGUACCUGAAACAAGUAUCGUUGGUAUGAGUUUAAGAAAACACACACAUUCACACAAAGCUUAAUCUAACCGUUUUUAUUUAUCACUAGUUAGGAUAUUUUUUUUAUAAAUUGAUCUCCAGAUAAUCUAUUGAUCAGACUUGAUCCACCUGAGGUUGAUUAUAAUUGGUUAUCAUGAUAGAGCUGCCGGUAUGCAAAGAGAACCAGCCGGUUUGAAAUUAUGUUUCUAUAUUCCUUUGCUAGCUGCUAAAUAAUCGGAAGACCGGUUCUCUUCUUAUUAUAGUUUCCUUAAAUGAUCCUCAAUAAAGGGAAGAACAAUUACAUCUUCUCUAUUUAGAACCAUGAAACACGUUGACAAGAAAAUGAAACACAAAAUAAAAUAAUAAUAAUAGAGUGUUUUCUGCAAAAAAAAAACCUCUACAUUGAAUACAACAAAAAUAUUUAAAGCUAUGAAACAACUAGAGUACAGAGUGUGUUUUUUAAUUUUCCUCUUAUUAUUUUGUAUAGUACUAGCAAACAAAAAUUUCAACGAUAGAGCUCGCUUAACCACUAAAAAUGUUAUAUAGUUUUUUAGUGGAAGCAGAUAUAGAAAACGUGUCAACGCAUCAUUUUGUCUGAUUGUCUAUGACACUUUGUGGCCGAGUCUCUCUCAUCUUUACCUUUGCACAAUUCAAUUUUAAUCAUCACAUGAUUCACAUCAACCAAGAACCAUAGCUUAUGAAACAAAAUUAUCAAAGAAGAAGCUUUUUUUUUCUAACUUGAUAUAGCCACAAGAUCUAUCCAAUGAAGAUGUCUUGGUAAUAUCUUAAAAAACUUACCAGCUUUCCAUGAGAACCUUGUCUUGGUUCAUAAGACAAAGAGCAGCUAUAGAGACACCAUCUUCGUUCUUGGUCAAGUACUUGCAAACCGGACCAAGCCCGUAAAUCCUCUCGACGCUGUCUCCGCCGGGAAUGGUUCGGUUGGAGCAGGUGAGGAUGGAGUAAGACGUGAGAAGACGGAGGAUUCGGUCGAGCAUGACCGGAGCUUCGGGGUUUUUGGUCUGAAGUUUAGAAGCAAUCUCAGAUGGAGACAUCGGAGAAGAGUUCUUGGCCAUGAUCUCGAGAAGAUCAAG